UGACAUGGGCGAUAGCAAUUAUCCUCUA
rnacentral:sRNA from 1 species